rnacentral:lncRNA from 1 species
AUCAUUCCACACUGCACUUAAUGAAAACUUAUCUUUGAGCAAGUUAUAUUCUCCAUGUUAACAUAGUUCCAGUAGCAUGCAUAUCAGUGGUGAGUUUUUUUAUUCAUUGAUUUUGUGUGCUCCCAUUUUGGCUUGGUUUCACUGCUCAAACCAUAUAUGUUAGUAAGAGGAAACAGAGUGUCACAUUUUUGUUGAUAAAAUACAUAUAAGAACAGAUUCAUUGUCCCGUCUCUGUAGCAUGGAUGUUUGUUCGUUAACGCAAGCGCUUAUUGUCACAUCUGUUGCUUCUAAUGAUUUUUAGUGUAAUACUAAUCAGAUUUCUAUAUCUCCUGAAGCAAGAAGAGUAUUUUGAUGGAGCACAAUUGAUGUAGGUAAGCUUACUUGCGUAAUUCAAAAACCUGAAACUUCUUAACAGUAACUCAAUUAUUACAUAACUCGAUUUUCUUCAUCUCCAACUGUGUUCCGUUUUUGACACUGGUGUUCCAUUUUUCUUAUUCAUGCUUGCAAUAUUUUUAGUUUUUUAUGAUUUUGUAUACCCAAUGUGCAUACUGUCUAGUGUAGGCAUCUACUACCUUUGCAGUUGCCUCCUCAUUUUCCUUUUAUUACUACAUGCGAUUUUUAUUAGCUGAUCUGUGGCUUGAUUUUCAUUUGUAGAUUCAAACUACUCUCCUGUGAGGAUUUGUUCUGCUAUACAUUUUCCUUUCAUUUCCCAUCCAGGUUGUGUUCAAAUGAUAGGUGGCAUUGCAAAUUAUGACCAGUUUAAAUCUUGUUUUAGUGAGGUAUGAUUUGCUCAUUAACUUUUAUUGCUCAUUUCAUUAACCCGUACAUUGCUGGCGGUUACUAUCUAAUACCCAAUAUAGAUAUGUAACGGACUAGGUUUUGUUUGAACGUGAUACAGUUGGGUUAAGCUUCUCAAAUGCCUAGCAUCAAUUAAGCUUGACCACCAAACUGAAACUGAAGAAUAUAAAAAGUUCAGUUAAGCAUCCGAAGCUUACGGACGGAAAUUUUUAAUGCAGUACACUAUAUGGUUAACCAAGGGGAACUUCUAUUUUUGCUACUUCCUGUUCCUGAAUUUUUUUGAAAUCACUUUAGUGUGCUUAUUGUUGGAAAUAUGCCCUAGAGGCAAUAAUAAAUUGGUUAUUAUUAUAUUUCCUUGUUCAUGAUAAUCGUUUA